rnacentral:rRNA from 1 species
CCUACGGGGGGCUGCAGUAGGGAAUAUUGGUUAAUGGACGAAAGUCUGAACCAGCAACGCCGCGUGUGCGAUGAAGGCCUUCGGGUCGUAAAGCACUUUUUGGAGGGACGAGGAAGGACGGUACCUCCAGAAUAAGCCUCGGCUAACUACGUGCCAGCAGCCGCGGUAACACGUAGGAGGCAAGCGUUAUCCGGAUUUACUGGGCGUAAAGCGCGUGUAGGCGGCUCGGAUAGUUGGAUGUGAAAGCUCCUGGCUUAACUGGGAGAGGUCGUUCAAUACUUCCGGGCUCGAGAGUGGUAGAGGGAGGUGGAAUUCCGAGUGUAGUGGUGAAAUGCGUAGAUAUUCGGAGGAACACCAGUGGCGAAAGCGGCCUCCUGGACCAUUUCUGACGCUCAGACGCGAAAGCUAGGGUAGCAAACGGGCUUAGAUACCCCGGUAGUC